rnacentral:tRNA from 2 species
GCCGAGGUAGUCUAGUGGUAAGGCGCAAGCCUGGAAUUCUCUACUGAAAGCUUGUGAUUCGCAAGGGUCGCGGGAGUUCGAAUCUCCCCCUCGGCG